rnacentral:lncRNA from 1 species
CCCCCAAGUCUCAAAUAUUGAAGAAUCUCUAACCAGAAGGCACAGAUCAUUCAUGGGGAUGUAUAACCGAAACCAGUCCUCUCCACCGCCUGGGGAUCUUCACUUUCGCAGUCUACGACUGCCUGUGACUCCAGAAAGACAAACUGCAGAUUGGCCAAGAUGGGGAAAUUGAGGCAGAGAAGCCAAGACAUGUGCUAAAGGUCAUGCAGGCUAUGAAUGGAGCUGGAAUGUGAACGCAGGCCAUAUGACCCCAGAGCCCAUGUUCUUGAACCCUUAGAAAGACAGCAGCAACACACCUGGUGCAGCAGCUGCUUAGUUGGAGUGGCUGACAAGGUUGGCAGAGGAUCCCGUUCCUCCCGUGGAGUGGCUGCCAUGAUACUGCCUGCACUGAAGCUGCUCCUAUUUCUGAAAUAUGUAUUGUUAUUUUUUUCCCUGCAUGUUGAACAUUAUACUCUUCUGUUCUUUCGCAUUCUCUUCUUCCCUUCCGGAUGACUUCUAGGGUUUUUGUGAUUCUGUAAUUCUAAAGGAGAAAGGAUAAUAAGAAUUGUGAGGCCGGGCGCGGUGGCUCAUGCCUGUAAUCACAGCACUUUGGGAGGCCAAGGUGGGCGGAUCACUAGGUGAGGAGAUGGAGACCAUCCUGGCUAACACGGUGAAACCCCGUCUCUACUAAAAAUACAAAAAAUUAGCGGGGUGUGGUGGCGGGCGCCUGUAGUCCCAGCAACUCGGGAGGCUGAGGCAGGAGAAUGGCGUGAACCCGGGAAGCGGAGCUUGCAGUGAGCCGAGAUUGCGCCACUGCACUCCAGCCUGGGCGAAGAGGGAGACUCCAUCUUAAAAAAUUAAAAAAAAAAAUUACAGAAAAUUAGCUGGGCGCGGUGGCGGGCGCCUAUAGUCCCAGCUACUCGGGAGGCUGAGGCAGGAGAAUGACGUGAACCCGAGAAGCGGAGCUUGC